UAGGGAAUAUUGGACAAUGGGUGCGAGCCUGAUCCAGCCAUGCCGCGUGCAGGAAGAAGGCUUUCUGAGUUGUAAGCUGCUUUUGCCAGAGGAUAAAAAGCCCAUGCGUGGGAAAUUGAAGGUACCUGGUGAAUAAGCCACGGCUAACUACGUGCCAGCAGCCGCGGUAAUACGUAGGUGGCAAGCGUUGUCCGGAUUUAUUGGGUUUAAAGGGUGCGUAGGCGGUUUUAUAAGUCAGUGGUGAAAUACGGUUGCUCAACAAUCGAGGUGCCAUUGAUACUGAAGAGCUUGAAAUAAUUGGAGGCUGCCGGAAUGGUCGGUGUAGCGGUGAAAUGCUUAGAUAUCGUCAAGAACACCGAUAGCGAAGGCAGCUUACUAAGCAGUAACUGACGCUGAGGCACGAAAGUGUGGGGAUCAAACA
rnacentral:rRNA from 1 species